UACGUAGGGUGCAAGCGUUGUCCGGAAUUAUUGGGCGUAAAGAGCUCGUAGGCGGUUUGUCACGUCGGAUGUGAAAUCCCGAGGCUUAACCUCGGGCCUGCAUUCGAUACGGGCUGACUAGAGUUCGGUAGGGGAGACUGGAAUUCCUGGUGUAGCGGUGAAAUGCGCAGAUAUCAGGAGGAACACCGGUGGCGAAGGCGGGUCUCUGGGCCGAUACUGACGCUGAGGAGCGAAAGCGUGGGGAGCGAACAGG
rnacentral:rRNA from 1 species